GCUAACAUUGUGGUCGCCAGUGUCGGUGGUAAACCGGCCACCUCACUCUUCAAAGGCCAACUUGAAGAGGAGAAGGGUGGAAUUAAGACUGAUGGGUUCUUCAAAACAAGCUUACCUGAUGUAUACGCACUUGGAGAUGUAGCUACAUUCCCAAUGAAAAUGUAUGGCGAGAUGAGGCGUAUUGAACACGCUGACAAUGCUCGCAAAUCUGCUGGACAAGCAGUCAAAGCAAUCAAAGCAGCUGAGGAAGGGAAAACUGUCCCAGAUUACGACUAUCUCCCCUUUUUCUACUCUAGAUUUUUCGACCUCUCGUGGGAAUUCUAUGGAGACAACGUAGGAGAAUCUGUAAUCUUUGGAGAUACUGACCCCAAAACUCCAAAGCC